GACGAACGCUGGCGGCGUGCUUAACACAUGCAAGUCGAACGGAAAGCCCCUGCUUCUGUGGGGUGCUCGAGUGGCGAACGGGUGAGUAACACGUGAGUAACCUGCCCUUGACUGUGUGAUAACUUCAGGAAACUGGGGCUAAUACCGGAAAGGAGCUCCUGCUGCAUGGUGGGGGUUGGAAAGUUUCGGCGGGUGGGGGUGGACUCGCGGCUUAUCAGCUUGUUGGUGUGGUAGUGGCUUACCAAGGCUUUGACGGGUAGCCGGGCUGGGGGGGGGACCGGCCACACUGGGCGUGAGAUACGGCACAGACUCGUACGCGAGGCGGCGGAGGGGAGUAUUGCACAAUAGGCGGAAGCCUGGUGUAGCAACGCCGCGUGCGGGAUGUGAGGCUUCGGGUUGUAUACCGCUUUCGCCUGUGACGAGACGAGAAUGACGGUAAUGGGAGAAGAAGCCCCGGCUAACUACGUG
rnacentral:rRNA from 1 species